UACGGGGGGUGCGAGCGUUGUCCGGAAUCACUGGGCGUAAAGGGCGCGUAGGGGGUUUGAUAAGGGUGUGGUGAAAGUCCGGGGCUCAACCCCGGAUCUGCCGUGCCGACUGUCAAACUCGAGGGCUGUAGAGGCAGACGGAAUUCCGGGUGUAGCGGUGGAAUGCGUAGAGAUCCGGAGGAAGACCGGUGGCGAAGGCGGUCUGCUGGGCAGUUUCUGACACUGAUGCGCGACAGCGUGGGGAGCAAACAGG
rnacentral:rRNA from 1 species